rnacentral:rRNA from 1 species
UACCUGCAGCUCGAGUGGUAACCGCUAUUAUUGGGCCUAAAGCGUCCGUAGCCGGUUUGGUAAAUAUCUGGGUAAAUCGUGAGGCUUAACUUCACGAAUUUCGGAUAGACUGCCAGACUUGGGAUCGGGGGAGGUCAGAGGUACUCCAGGGGUAGCGGUGAAAUGUUGUAAUCCUUGGAGGACCACCGGUAGCGAAGGCGUCUGACUAGAACGAGUCCGACGGUGAGGGACGAAGCCCUGGGGCGCAAACCGGAUUAGAUACCCGGGUAGUCCAGGGUGUAAACAAUGUGGGCUUUGUAUUGGAGGUCCCACGUGGGCGUCCAGUGCAGAAGAGAAGUUGUUAAGCCCACCGCCUGGGAAGUACGGUCGCAAGGCUGAAACUUAAAGGAAUUGGUGGGGGAGCACAGCAACGGGAGGAGCGUGCGGUUU